UCCAUACUGGCUCAGAUAGUAAAGUGUCUGUCUACCAUGCAGGAGACCUGGGUUCGAUCCCUGGGUGGGGAA
rnacentral:tRNA from 1 species